UUUAGCUCACCUGAGCAAUGCUCAGGUGAGUUUUUCUGAUCGCUCGAUGUCCGGCGUCCGUCGUCUGUCGUCCGUCUGUCGUCUGUCUGUCGUCUGUCUGUCAACAUUUAGCUUGUGUAUGCGAUAGAGGCUGUAUUUUUCAAUAAAUCUUUAUGAAUAUUGGUCAGAAUGAUAACCUUGAUGAAAUCUAGGCCGAGUUCGAAAAUGGGUCAUCUCGGGUCAAAAACUAGGUCACUAGGUCAAAUCAAAGAAAAACCUUGUGUAUGCGAUAGAGGCUGAAUUUUUCAAUUCAUCUUCAUGAAUAUUGGUCAGAAUGAUAACCUUGAUGAAAUCUAGGCUGAGUUCGAAAAUGGGUCAUCUCGGGUGAAAAACUAGGUCACUAGGUCAAAUCAAAGAAAAACCUUGUGUAUGCGAUAGAGGCUGUAUUUUUCAAUUGAUCUUCAUGAAUAAUGGUCAGAAUGAUUGCCUUGAUGAAAUCUAGGCCAAGUUCGAAAAUGGGUCAUCUCGGGUCAAAAACCAGGUCACUAGGUCAAAUCAAAGAAAAACCUUGUGUAUGCGCUAGAGGCUGUAUUUUUCAAUUGAUUUUCAUGAAUGUUGGUCAGAAUGAUUGCCUUGAUGAAAUCUAGGCCGAGUUCGAAAAUGGGUCAUCUCGGGUCAAAAACUAGGUCACUAGGCCAAAUCAAAGAAAAACCUUGUGUAUGCGAUAGAGGUGGUAUUUUUCAAUUGAUCUUCAUGAAUUUUGGUCAGAAUGAUUACCUUGAUAAAAUCUAGGCCGAGUUUGAAAAUGGGUCAUCUGGGGUCAAAAACUAGGUCACUAGGUCAGAUCAAGGAAAAACCUUGUGUAUGCGAUAGAGGCUGUAUUUUUCAAUUGAUCUUCAUGAAUUUAGUCAGAAUGAUUACCUUGAUGAAAUUUAGACCAAGUUCGAAAAUGGGUCAUCUCGGGUGAAAAACUAGGUCACUAGGUCAAAUCAAAGAAAAACCUUGUGUAUGCGAUAGAGGCUGUAUUUUUCAACUGAUCUUCAUGAAAUUUAGCCAGAAUGAUUACCUUGAUAAAAUAUAGGACGAGUUUGAAAAUGGGUCAUCUGGGGUCAAAAACUAGGUCACUAGGUCAAAUCGAAGAAAAACAUUGUGUAUGCAAUAGAGGAUGUAUUUUUCAAUUGAUCUUCAUGAAAUUUUGUCAGAGUGAUUGCCUUGAUGAAAUCUAGGUCGAGUUUGAAUAUGGGUUAUCUGAGGUCAAAAACUAGGUCACUAGGUCAAAUUAAAGAAAAAUCUUGUGUAUGCGAUAGAGUUGUUUUUUUCAAUUGAUUUUUAUGAAAUUUGGUCAGGAUGAUUGCCUUGAUGAAAUCUAGGUCGAAUUUGAAUAUGGGUCAUCUGAGGUCAAAAACUAGGUCACUUGGUCAAAUCAAAGAAAAAACUUGUGUAUGUGAUAGAGGCUGUAUUUUUCAAUUGAUCUUCAUGAAGUUUGGUCAGAAUGAUUGCCUUGAUGAAAUCUAGGUCGAGUUUGAACAUGGGUCAUCUAGGGUCAAAAACUAGGUCAUAUCUAAGAAAAUGCUUGUUUUAUCGCAAGAGAUCAAUUUUUUGGUCCAAUCUUAAUGAAAAUUGGUCAGAAUAUUUGUUUCCAUGAAAUCACUAGGUCAAACAUGUUUUACACUGUUAUGGUGUGUUUCUUAGGUGAGCGACCUAGGGCCAUCUUGGCCCUCUUGUUAUUUAUUUUUUUAGAAUACUCGAAACAUUUAACAAAAAUAACUUGGCAAAAUAGAUACAAGUUUAUGAAAUGGGUAGUCAGACCAGAAGUUUCAGAGUGGAUCGAAUCAAACUGAUAAAAUAAUUCUGUCUGCCUAGUCCAUAAAUGAAACUACAACAUGUACUUUUAUUCUGUCUGCCUAGUCCAUAAACAAGGAUUUUAUGUGUUGCAUUUAUCAGAUCAUAUGGUACAAAAAUCAUGGAGGUACUUCUAAUCCUCCAAUCCUAUUUAAUAAUUAUUUCCAUGAAAAUCAGUUAUAUAUGGAAUAAUGUGAAAGAGUGCAAAAGUAAUUUCAGAGUUGUGAACAAAAUAUUCUGGUCAAUAUAUUGUUUUAUGGACUGGGAAUAAAGCUGGAAAUUGAUGCUGUUGAGAAUUAUUUAUUUGUGAAAUGUGUUCAUUCAUAGAUCAUUUAAAGUCUGUUAUGUAUUUGAAUGUCAUUGAAUAAAUUUGAAGUCUCAAGAUUAUAAGUCCUCAAUUGAAAUGCAAGUAAUAUGUAUUAAAAUUAAGAGAAAUAAAACCCCUUUUAAAAGAAGUUUUCUCUAGUGUAAACCUGGGUGAGAAUUGUAAAGCUGCUUGUGUUAUUGUGCUGUUACUGUAUACAUGUAUUGUAACAGCAUUAAGGAUUUUGAAAUAUCUUUCCAUAUUGAUGAAUGUGCAGAUCACAGUUCUGUGCAGUCUCAUCUCAAAGAGGUGGAAAUGAUUUUCCACAUACAUUUGUAUGCUUAUUUUAGAAUAGUAUAUACUGCAAGGAUAACAUGAUCAGAGCAGAUUUUCCACCUAAAGGUCAAGUGGCAAAAUCAUUUGGUAAAAAUAAUUGCCUUACUGAAAAACAAAACCAUUUAUCUAUAAUCAUGCAUGUUUUCAUAUUCACCUACAGAAGUAUACUUUCAUGAUUAUUUUUGUAAUGUGUGAUAGACAGCAUUAAAAAUUUAAACAGGAAGUGCUGAACUCUGGUUUGAUUCAAAAAGUCUGUAACAGGAUUUUUCAUGAAUAAUUUUUUUAGAUUUGGAUAUAAGCUAUAUAGCAUUCAGUCAAAUGUCUCCAGAUGUAGUAAUAGGAACUUUUUAUGCCCCCAAAGGGAGGCAUAUAGUUUUUAAACCGUCUGUCGGUCUGUCCGCAAUUUUCGUGUCCGGUCCAUAUCUUUGUCAUCGAUGGAUGGAUUUUCACAUAACUUGGCAUGAAUGUGUACCACAGUAAGAUGACGUGUCACGCCCAAGACCCAGGUCCGUAGCUCAAAGGUCAAGGUCACACUUAGACGUUAAAGGUUACUGCAUUGAUGGGCGUGUCCGGUCCAUAUCUUUGUCAUCCAUGGAUGGAUUUUCAAAUAACCUGGCAUGAAUGUGUACCACAGUAAGACGACAUGUCGCGCGCAAGACCCAGGUCCGUAGCUCAAAGGUCAAGGACACACUUAGACGUUAAAGGUCAUUUUUCAUGAUAGUGCAUUGAUGGGCGUGUCCGGUCCAUAUCUUUGUCAUUCAUGCAUGGAUUUUAAAAUAACUAUGCAUGAAUGUGUGGCACAGUAAGACGACAGGUCACGCGCAAGACCCAGCUCCGUAGGUCAAAGGUCCUAAACUCUAACAUUGGCCAUAACUAUUCAUUCAGAGUGCCAUCGGGGGCAUGUGUCAUCCUAUGGAGACAGCUCUUGUUUAAUUUAUUAUUUUCUGAAUCUAAACUUGCUGAAAGUUUCAAUGUAAAAUAGUCUAUGAAAAAGAGUUUUAGGCAUUAAAUUUAUAUUUGAUAACUUAAAAAGUUUAAAAAAUCCUUACUGUAAUGCUUGAAGUUCUUUAGAACAAUGUAAAUUAUCAAUUAUGUUGUCCUAUAUUUUAAGAUACAUUAAGGGAAAACCUUGUUACUGAAAAGAUGUAUCAAACUCUAGUGUGUAUUUAUUAGUCCCCUACUGGUUGAAAACCAGUUUCGGGGACUAUAGGAAUGCGCUUUUCCGUCAUUCCGUCCGUCCGUCUGUCCGUCCGUCUGUCCGUCCGUCCGUCCGUCCGCAAUUUCGUGUCCGGUCCAUAACUCUGUCAUCCAUGAAGGGAUUUUAAUAUUACUUGGCACAAAUGUUCCCCAUGAUGAGACGACGUGUCAUGCGCAAAACCCGGACCCCUAGCUCAAAGGUCAAGGUCACAAUUUGAGGUCAAAGGUCAACAGGGCUUUUUUCCUGUCCGGUCCAUAACUCUCCCAUCCAUGAAGGGAUUUUAAUAUUACUUGGCAUAAAUGUUCCCCAUGAUGAGACGACGUGUCAUGCGCAAAACCCGAACCCCUAGCUCAAAGGUCAAGGUCACAGUUGGAGGUCAAAGGUCAACAGGGCUUUUUUCCUGUCCGGUCCAUAACUCUCCCAUCCAUGAAGAGAUUUUAAUAUUACUUGGCACAAAUGUUCCCCAUGAGAAGACGACGUGUCAUGCGCAAAACCUAGACACCUAGCUUAAAGGUCAAGGUCACAAUUUGAGGUCAAAGGUCAACAAGGCUUUUUUCCUGUCCGGUCCAUAACUCUCCCAUCUAUGAAGGGAUUUUAAUAUUACUUGGCACAAAUGUACCUCAUAAUAAGACGAUGUGUCAUGCACAACUUUCAAACCCCUAGCUCAAAGGUCAAGGUCACACUUAGCAGUCAAAUGUUAACAUAGCAUGAACAGGGUCUGUUUCGUGUCCGGUCCAUAACUCUGACAUUCAUUAAGGAAUUUUAAUAUCACUUAGCACAAGUGUUCCCCAUGAUGAGAUGACGUGUCGUGCGCAAAUCCCAGACCCCUAGCUCAAAGGUCAAGGUCACAAUUGGGGGUCAAAGGUCAAUAAGGUUUUUUCCCUGUCCGAUCCAGAACUCUGUCAUCCAUCAAGGGAUUACAAUAUUACUUGGCAUAAAUGUUUCCCAUGAUGAGACGACGUGUCAUGCGCAACACCCAGUACCCUAGCUUAAAGGUCAAGGUCACACUUUGAGAUCAAAGGUCAAGAGGAUUUUUUUCCUGUCCGGUCUAUAACUUUGUCAUGCAAAGCAGGAUUUAGAUAUCAGUUGGCACAAAUAUUCCCCUGGAUGAGACAACAUGUCAUGUGCAAGAACCAGGUCCCUAGGUCUAAGGUCAAGGUCAUAUUUAGAGGUCAAAGGUCAAAUUCAAGAAUGACUUUGUACGGAACAUUUCUUCUUCAUGCAUGGAGGGAUUUUGAUGUAACUUGGACCAAAUGUUCACCACCAUGAGGCACCCUUGUUUUUAGAAUUACGUCCCUUUGUUGUUACUAUAAAUAGAUUUUAUUGUAACUUUUUUAUUACUGGCGGUAGAGAAAAAUCGAGACCACUUUUCUGUGGUACAGCAUGCAUGUUACAUCCAAUUGUUAGGUGUAUUUUGACCUAUCUCUACCUGGUAAAGAGUUUCUUGUGGACUUAUAUUAUAUAGAUUUUUUUUUUUUUUUUUUUUUUUUUUUUAAAGAUUAAUUUCCCUUUGUUGUUACUAUAAAUAACUUACAUGAUAACAUUUUUAUAAUCAGCCAAAAAAAUUCAAUAUGAAAACAACUAUAGGUUUUUAUAUAUAUAAAUUUUAAUCCAAGUGUUUUGUUAUAGCAUAUUGUGUAUAUAGUACAAUAUUGUUUAUACAACAUUGACAGAUAUCAGUUCAUUAUGUUAUACUGCAGUAGAGAAAAUUAGGUGCCUUCCAGUAGGGGACUUUGUAUUGCAUGGCAAUACUUCAUUCACUUGUUUAUAUUAUUGCAAACAUAAAUGAAAUCAUGUACACUGGUAGAUUGUUGGUUGUUUAUUGACCAGCACGUUGUUUUUUCGAAAAUGAAAUAAAAGUUUAGAUUAAAUAUAAUGCAUUUUGUUCUACUUGUAUUCUGUUGUUGAAAGUCGCUGACACAAUUUUAGGUCAAAAAGCAUUUUUCCAGCUUUUUGAUAGUGGAGGAAUACUCCCGAUUUCUCUCCAUGUAUUAUUUUAGGCACAGUUUACCUUUAACCUGCUAAAUUUCUAAAAUGGACUAUCCAUCAUUCACUUUUGGCAGUACCAGAUGUUCAUUAAAGGGGUGUUCACUGAAAAUUUACUGACUGAAUAGCGAACAGUUCAGGCUGAUCUUGGUCUGCACUGGUCGUAAAGGAAGAAUUACUUGCCACCAGCAGGCUCAAGGUUAAAACCUGGAAAGGACCAACAACUUUCAGUCCUUUAUACUGUACUCAAUAUUGUGUGUAAGCUGAUUUAUAGUUGCUGGCUGUAACUUGUAAGGGCAACUCUGCCAGAAGACCUUCGAAGUAAUUAUAGUGGGAGGUCACAGUAUUAAAAACAAAAAUAGCAUGACAGAUAAAUAUCUUUCCUUGUCACAUAAAAGACUAGAGCUGUUAGUGCAAGAACUUGGCAAUUUCAAAGAUUUAGACAAGAUUUGUAAUAUUAAACAAAUUACUAUACGACACUAACGGAAAUAAAAAUGAGUCAAUCAUGUAUU